GCAGUGGGGAAUAUUGCACAAUGGGCGCAAGCCUGAUGCAGCGACGCCGCGUGCGGGAUGACGGCCUUCGGGUUGUAAACCGCUUUUGACUGGGAGCAAGCCCUUCGGGGUGAGUGUACCUUUCGAAUAAUCACCGGCUAACUACGUGCCUGCAGCCGCGGUAAUAC
rnacentral:rRNA from 1 species